UACGGAGGGGGCAAGCGUUAUCCGGAAUUAUUGGGCGUAAAGAGCUCGUAGGCGGUUUGUCGCGUCUGCCGUGAAAGUCCGGGGCUCAACUCCGGAUCUGCGGUGGGUACGGGCAGACUAGAGUGAUGUAGGGGAGACUGGAAUUCCAGGUGUAGCGGUGAAAUGCGUAGAUAUCUGGAGGAACACCGGUGGCGAAGGCGGCAUCCUGGACCAAUAUUGACGCUGAGGAGCGAAAGCUAGGGGAGCAAACGGG
rnacentral:rRNA from 1 species